rnacentral:tRNA from 2 species
GGCACCGUAGCUCAGUUGGUUAGAGCGCGCCUCUCAUAAGGGCGAGGUCGGCGGUUCAAAUCUGCCCGGUGCUA